rnacentral:lncRNA from 1 species
AGAAACACGACAAGGUUUUACAACAUCAUGGCUACAAUCAUGUCACAACUCAACUUGAAGAUGAUGGGUUCGAAGCACGACAAGGUUUUAGCGUACCCCUCUUGCUGCACAAGACAAGUAACAUCAUCUGUCAAUUUUGCCAGGUCUUUGAGUCACAAUAUUUAUUCUAACUCAAGGCUGCUAAGUACUGCUUAUCAAUCUUGUACUAGUAGCAGUUUAAGAGAAAAUUAUUAUUGUAAUAAUGUUGCUGAUCCUUUUGCUGCUGAAAAAGUUGUGAUGAUGAUGAAGCCUAGUGUUGGUAAAUCUACUAACCCUGGUCCUAGUAUUCGAGAUUUUGUUGAUACGAUAUCUCGAAUUUUGGCAUCCUUAUUGACAUAUGGUGUAGUUUUUACUUUCUUAACUGUGCCUGCAUGCUUUUAUGCUUCAAAUUCUGCAUGGGCUGUCUCAUCUGGUAGAAUUGGGGGCUCUUCCUCCUCCUCCUCCUCCUCCUCCUACGGUUCAUCAUCAUCCUCCUAUGGUUCAUCAUCAUCGGGUUCGUAUUAUUACUCGGAUGAUGAUGAUGAGGGUUAUUCUAAGAAAGAUGACUCGAGCAUUACACAUACCUGUACUUGUGAUACCAGUUGUACAAAGUGCAUUGAUUGCCAGAUUAGGAAAAAUGGAAAACAAGAGAAACAAGAAGAAGAAAACAAGUCUAGCACUAAUUCCUCCUGUUCUUGCAAUUGCCACUCUACUUGUUAUUUCCACAAAAAACCCGACUUUUUACUUGAUUUACAAUUACGAGUAAUAGUAGCUUGUUUUCUUUUUUCUGCAAUAGCUAAUGUAUAUGUUGAUAUGGAAGAGCAGAAAGCUGAUGACGGGACAAUGCUCAUUUUUCAGGUUUGGUAAAAUCUCUAGUAUGGAAUUCUCCAUUGUUAUACAGUUGUGACAUAUAGUUAGAAUUUUGUAAUAUAUCAACUCGAUUCAUGCUUGUCUUCCUCCUACUUUUUUUCAUCAAGGUUGGAGUUUUGGAUAAGAAAAGGAUAUUGCAAAGAAACCUUAACAACAUAGCUAAAAAUGCAGAUACAUCCACCGCGUAUGGUCUGAACUGCACAUUGAAAGGUGACACCUUUGGACACUGUUUCUUUUAUGUGCUGCUUGCUUAUUAUCACUGAGAAUGUAUCACAACAUAUGUUUAUUUUUAUGACUAGUGCAUCAGGGAAAUUGUGUGUGCUUAUUUAUAAAAUUAAAAACAUUAAUGGGGGAUUAAAAAUAAAUGAGAUAGAAAAUAGGUAAAUAGAUUGAGUGUAGGUAUAUUAUUUUACUAGGAUGUUUGUUCCUCAUAUAAGUGAUGUAAUCCCUCAUUUCUUGAAUACGUUCAUGACAAAUGAUAGUAAAAUCUAUACAAGAGAAAUUUGUUAGAUUUUAUACUAGCUAGUAUACUUAACACGACCCAAUUGAAUUGCUGCGACCGAUUUCAAACUCUCAGUGUUAACUAGAUCAGCUCCAGUCAGUUGCUUUGCGCUGUAAAUAAGUCAGAAUUUUAUGCUGAGCAGAAAGAGACGUUUUAUCUAAACCUUGGUAACGAUUCAAAUACGUGGUAAUAACCCAUUAUCAUCCAUGUCGAUGUAGUACAAAUUUGAAAAUGUAGGUUUCAGUAUAAAAAUUCCUUUAGUUUCUGAUGAAGGUUGGUUCAUAAGUAGUUGUUAAAAAAUUAUAGUGAUACUAGCUUGUACAUUUAUAUCAGAGAUUGAAGGUUGAGUUGAUUAGUUGAUAAUAUCAUUACUUCAUGCAUUGUGAUUUUUGUAGACAGUUUGGUUUAUAUCAAAGUUUCGAGCCAAGUUGUCAGUAACUUAAUUGAAAUGGUGAACAUAUAUAACAACUCAUGAUUAGAUGUCUGUUUGGUAUUGUUUUUUUUGUUUAUGAUAUUCAAGUUAACGAUUUAUUUUGUAGAGGUGGUAAAAGCUCUUCUUCAACAUGAUAAUUCGUCUUUGAAGUUUCACGAUCUAUCUGUAAGUCGAUUUUUCUUUAGGUCAAUUAGUCAGUAGCAAAUGUCUGGCACAUGGAUCCUGUACUCUUUAUGAUCUUAUGUUUAAAGGCUCGUCUUUCAUUAACAUAUUACUAGUAGAAAAUAAGACAUGUUUUUGAAAUUUGGAUUACAGCUUGAGUAUCAAACUUAUCUAACAAGGGGGAGCUUAGACAAGUCUUUUAAAAAAAAUCUCAAUGAGCUGCUUGAGGGAUUCGCCGGAGGCGGUAUUACAUUGGGGAAUGUAAACGGUGUAAAAUAUAGGGAGCGAAUUAAAGUUAACAGGAGAGUUGACAAUGAAUAUACAAUGGUUACAGUUAUGGUGCUUGCUACUGGUCACUACUUGAUUCCUAAAAAAAAAGAGAAGGGAAGAAAGUACUUUGACUCCCUCGCAGUGUUGCAAACACUUCAACAUAUCCCAAAAAACCAAAUACAGGUAAUUUACAAAACUGUUUACAAGUGACUUUCUAUAAAGUGAUUUUCGAUUAUCAACAAGAUUAUAAGUUUUCUUCAAUUCAGUUGCGCUCAUUUAUAAACUAUUUGAAUGGAGAUAACCCUCCGGCAAGCUGACUGAGUUCAAUGAUGUUUUAGUCAUUUAUAUUUUAAAUAAGCUUCCUUUUGUCAUAAGAAUCAUUUUUUGUGGUGUAGUCUGUUGAAGUAUUCUGGUCACCACAAAAAGAAGAUGAGGUUCUGUCGGAGGAAGAUAUACGAAGAUGUACUAAAAUGGCACCAAUAGAAGAUGGUCGUAUCUUCCUCAUUUGAUUAUCUCUAGCAUUACUAUACCUCUAGAUAAUUAAGGUUAAGAGGUUUAGACCUUUACGAGACAAGGUUUUCCUUGUACAAAUUCAUUUUAGGAUAAUUAUGCAAAUAAAAGAAGACCUCAGCUUGUGACAUUAUACUUUAACAGAUUUAUGUGUGCAUUGCCUUUCCGUAAAUAUGUGAACUGUUUUUUAGCCAAGUCAAGCUUGUCAAGCCAAGACAAGUAAUAUCAUCUGUCAAUUUUGCCAGGUCUUUGAGUCACAAUAUUUAUUCUAACUCAAGGCUGCUAAGUACUGCUUAUCAAUCUUGUACUAGUAGCAGUUUAAGAGAAAAUUAUUAUUGUAAUAAUGUUGCUGAUCCUUUUGCUGCUGAAAAAGUUGUGAUGAUGAUGAAGCCUAGUGUUGGUAAAUCUACUAACCCUGGUCCUAGUAUUCGAGAUUUUGUUGAUACGAUAUCUCGAAUUUUGGCAUCCUUAUUG